rnacentral:lncRNA from 1 species
ACGGGGGCGUCUAUCUCAGGCGUUAGCGAGUUACGUGUUAGUAUGAGUGAGUUCCGGUUUUAGGGUUAUUAAGAUUGAGUUUAGUAAUCCUUUAUUCAGUAGUGGUAAAGAAUUUCCCCUUCUUCCGUCUGUCUUUACUCGGUGUAUGCGCUUUCCAUUCACAAUAAUUUCCAAUAAAAGGAUUCAUCGACGUCUCGUAUAGAAUUACCUAUUAUUACUUUCUUUGAUCUAAGGUCAUAGUUUACUAUACUAAUCAGUUAAUAAAUCUCGACAUUAAUUCUCAUUAUAUCUAAAAUCAGAGAAAUAGCGAGGAUGGGUCAUAAAGGUGUAAGGCUAGCAGUGCCAUAAGAAAUAUAAGCUUUUGGAGCAUAUCAAAGUAAGCGAGUAGAAUUCGGGUGCUUGUAAAGUGCAACUAUACUAAAGAAUGAUCUGUGCUUAAGUCUCAUUGUGGCGAAGGAGGAGCAUGCCGAUAAGGGGCACCAUCAUUUCAAUGUAGGAAUACUAUUAGAGAAGGGUGUUCAUAGGCUUAGCGCACCAAUAACCUUCAGGAAGAUCUUCCCUUAAUUUUAAGGAGCUCCAUGAAAUGUUUCAUUCCACAGGGCGUGGACAUCGGUGUGUAAAUAUGUUCUGAAAGAGUAUAAAGAGCCUCCGGUUUGGGGAAAGCAGUCGGUCAACCAGAUAAAAGAGAGUGUGAAGGCCCAGCUAAUGCACAAAAAACUACCGGAUAGGAGUCAAUGGAUGUAUAGAAGUUUCAAGCCUUUCAUG